CCCUUAGAUGUCCUGGGCCGCACGCGUGCUACACUGAUGCAUACAGCGAGUACUUUCCAGCUCCGCGAGGCAGCUGGUAAUCAGCAAUAUGCAUCGUGCUGGGGAUAGAUCUUUGGAAUUAUAGAUCUUGAACGAGGAAUUCCUAGUAAGCGCAAGUCAUUAGCUUGCGCUGAUUAAGUCCCUGCCCUUUGUACACACCGCUCGUCGCUCCUACCGAUUUCGAGUGAUUCGGUGAACCUUUUGGACAGCGUCUGUCCUCGUGUCAGAUGCUGAAAGUCAAGUAAACCAUAUCACUUAGAGGAAGGAGAAGUCGUAACA
rnacentral:rRNA from 1 species